ACGCUUAGUUGACGUCACGACGCUAGUCCUGGCAGGCAGGGGGACAAAGAAAGAUGUCCGGUGUCAUCGCCAAGUACCACUGCAACUACUGUCAGGAGGACAUCACCGGAGUGCGCGUCAAAUGUGCCGAGUGCCCAGACUUUGACCUUUGUUUACAGUGCUUUUCCUGCGGGGCGGAGAUGGGGGCACACAAGAACAGGCAUGGCUACCAGUUGAUAGACUGUGGCAACUUCCCCAUCUUCCAAGCUCCCUGCAACUGGAAGGCCAAGGAGGAACUGGUGCUUUUGGAGGCCAUCGAGCAGUACGGCUUCGGCAACUGGGAGGAUGUCUCUCAGUGCCUGCCAGCUCGAAGCUGUGAAGAGGUGCAGGAGCACUACAACAACCAUUACAUUGAGGGCAACAUUGGGAGAGCCACAUGGUCCACAGAGGUGUCGACGCAAAUCAAGGAUCACACAGUGCCUGAGGGAGGUCCACUGUCUCCGAGUCUAAGCACUCCGGUGGCCACGGUGGACAUCACGUCUACCGAGCAGCAGGAGCUUGGCUACAUGCCCUGUCGGGACGACUACGAGAGGGAGUACGACAACGAGGCCGAGUCCCUGAUCAGCCAGCUGUCGAUGGGCGGCCCAGACGAGGACGACCUCGAGGUUGCCCUGAAGCUGGCUCAGGUGGACAUGUACUCGAGGCGGCUACGGGAGCGGAUGCGUCGCAAGGGCCUGGCACGGGACUACCGCCUGCUCGAGCAGUUUUGCCACAUGGGCCGGCCGGCCUCCAAGGCCAGCCCGGUGUCGCGCAGCAAGAAGCCUGCCCGUGAGGCCGACAAGGAACUGCAGGAGAAGAUGCGCAUAUUCAGCCAGUUUCAGUCAGCCACGGAGCACGAGCAACUUCUGGAGAACCUCGAGAGGGAAAAAGAGCUUAAAGCCAGGAUCAAAGAGCUGCUGAGGUAUCGGCGGAACGGCAUCACCAAGCUCGAUGAAUGCUCAGAAUUCGACGCCGCGAGGCAUCGUCGGGAAAAGCGCAAGGAAGCGAAAAAGAAGUCUUUUGCCCUCAACGCAGGCACCCGCCAGCUCCGUUCACAAAAAGCCCAUCUCAACGGCAUCAAAAAAAUACGAAGAAAAAGGAGGCGUCGACACUACGCUAAGCGAACAAGGUGACACGAGGGAAGACUCCAAGGAGGCCACCGACAUCACCAGCUUGCCUGGCUACGAGCUGCUCUCCGACAAGGAGAGGAAGCUGUGCCAGUCCAUUGGAAUCAGCCCUGCGUGCUACAUCACCUUUAAGACUGUAGUGCUGAAGGACCAAGCUCAGCGGCAGAAGGGCAGCACGGCCAAGUUCCGAUCCCUGG
rnacentral:misc_RNA from 1 species